rnacentral:rRNA from 1 species
AGCGAACGCUGGCGGCGUGCCUAACACAUGCAAGUCGAACGUGAAAUGGGGGCAACUCCAAAGUAAAGUGGCGUACGGGUGAGUAACACGUAGGUAAUCUACCCUAAAGUUUGGAAUAACCGGCCGAAAGGCUGGCUAAUACUGGAUAGAGCGAUGGAAUCCGUAAUUGGAUUUUUCGGGAAAGGGAGCGUCGCAAGAGCCUUCGCUUUAGGAUGAGCCUGCGUCUCAUUAGCUAGUUGGUGGGGAAUGGCCCACCAAGGCUUUGAUGAGUAGCUGGUCUGAGAGGAUGAUCAGCCACACUGGAACUGAACACGGUCCAGACUCCUACGGGAGGCAGCAGU